AAGCGCGAGUGAACAGGGAAAAGCUCAAAUUUAAAAUCUGAUAGUCUCUGGCUGUCCGAGUUGUAAUUUAGAGAAGUGUUACCCGUGUUCGACCGUGUACAAGUCUCCUGGGAUGGAGCGUCAUAGAGGGUGAGAAUCCCGUCUUUGACACGGACUACCAAUGCAUUGUGGUGCGCUCUCGAAGAGUCGAGUUGUUUGGGAAUGCAGCUCUAAAUGGGUGGUAAAUUCCAUCUAAAGCUAAAUAUUGGGGAGAGACCGAUAGCGAACAAGUAGCGUGAGGGAAAGAUGAAAAGAACUUUGGAAAGAGAGUUAAACAGUACGUGAAAUUGCUGAAAGGGAAACGCUUGAAGUCAGUCGCGUUAGCAGGGGAUCAGCCUUCCUUUUGGUUGGUGUAUUUCCUAGUUGAUGGGUCAGCAUCAGUUUUGACCAGUGGAUAAAAGCUUGAGGAAUGUGGCAUCCUCGGAUGUGUUAAAAGCCUCUUGUUGUAUACAUUGGUUGGGACUGAGGAAUUCAGCACGCCGCAAGCCGGGUUUUUAACCACGUUCGUGCUUAGGAUGCUGGCAUAAUGGCUUUAAUCGACCCGUCUUGAAACACGGACCAAGGAGUCUAAGCCGAGUGCGAGUGUUUGGGUGG
rnacentral:rRNA from 1 species